rnacentral:rRNA from 1 species
UACGAAGGGUGCAAGCGUUACUGGGAAUUACUGGGCGUAAAGCGUGCGUAGGUGGUUUGUUAAGUCUGUUGUGAAAGCCCCGGGCUCAACCUGGGAAUGGCAAUGGAUACUGGCAGGCUAGAGUGCGGUAGAGGGUAGUGGAAUUCCCGGUGUAGCGGUGAAAUGCGUAGAGAUCGGGAGGAACACCAGUGGCGAAGGCGGCUACCUGGACCAGCACUGACACUGAGGCACGAAAGCGUGGGGAGCAAACAGG